rnacentral:rRNA from 1 species
GACGAACGCUGGCGGCGUGCCUAAUACAUGCAAGUGGAACGCACUGAUGAAGCCGUAGCUUGCUACAAUUUCAUCAGUGAGUCGCGAACGGGUGAGUAACGCGUAGGUAACCUGCCUGGUAGCGGGGGAUAACUAUUGGAAACGAUAGCUAAUACCGCAUAAGACAUUUUACUGCAUGGUAAGAUGUUAAAAGAUGCAACUGCAUCACUACCAGAUGGACCUGCGUUGUAUUAGCUAGUUGGUGAGGUAACGGCUCACCAAGGCCACGAUACAUAGCCGACCUGAGAGGGUGAUCGGCCACACUGGGACUGAGACACGGCCCAGACUCCUACGGGAGGCAGCAGUAGGGAAUCUUCGGCAAUGGGGGGAACCCUGACCGAGCAACGCCGCGUGAGUGAAGAAGGUUUUCGGAUCGUAAAGCUCUGUUGUAAGAGAAGAACGCGUGUGAGAGUGGAAAGUUCACACAGUGACGGUAUCUACCAGA